UUGGGAAUGAUAUGGUUGUUAAUAUUGUGAGUUAUUGUAAGACCCUAACUUUUAUGAAUAAAGAUUUAAUUUUCUCUAAAUGUUAUUUUGAAUAAUAAGGUGUGGAUUUGAUAUAAUGUUAUAGUUGUGGUUAAUAUUUACAAAUUUUGCAAAGUAAGCAAAUUGUCACAAAAUAUUCGUUUGGUCGGAAAAUAUUCAUUUUAUCAAGCAAUAUUCGUACGACGGCACAAUCAUUGGUGGACCCCACAAAGGAAUUACUAUCAGAUUUAGAAAUCAACUGAAAUAACCUUUUUUAUAAAAAUAACUGCAAGACUUUUACUGUUAACUGUUGAAAUACCCGGUGAUAAAAAUACAUUAAUAUGUGUUGUUGCACAGUAGCACAUUAUAUUGUACAAUAUCUUUGAUUAUUGAUGCUUACAUGAGAAGUCACUCAAUUUUAUUCAAUUAUUGUUGUGGCGACCCCAAAUCCAGGUACUUGAAACCCGAACUCGGUUCUCCACGAUACCAUUUCUUUAAGCUGAAUAAUACUAAAUAAUAAUACAUUCGAACUUAAUUUACAUACAUCAAAG
rnacentral:lncRNA from 1 species